UACGAAGGGGCUAGCGUUGCUCGGAAUCACUGGGCGUAAAGCGCACGUAGGCGGAUUGCUAAGUCAGGGGUGAAAUCCUGGAGCUCAACUCCAGAACUGCCUUUGAUACUGGCGACCUUGAGUCCGGGAGAGGUGAGUGGAACUGCGAGUGUAGAGGUGAAAUUCGUAGAUAUUCGCAAGAACACCAGUGGCGAAGGCGGCUCACUGGCCCGGUACUGACGCUGAGGUGCGAAAGCGUGGGGAGCAACAGG
rnacentral:rRNA from 1 species